AUCGCUUCUCAGCCUUUUGGCUAAGAUCAAGUGUAGUAUCUGUUCUUAUCAGGUAGUACACUGGUAGGAAUGGAUAGCUGCAUGGAGGAGCAGGUGUACAGGGGAGUUCCGGGGCUGGCACCCAACCCAGCUCUACGGCUGCCCUGAUGUGACCUGUUUCCUUCAGGUCUCGCCAUGAGGUC